rnacentral:ncRNA from 2 species
UCCUUAUCUAGAGAAGCAGAGGGACUGGCCCGAUGAAGCUUCAGCAACCAGCAAUGCUUAUUUGCAAAGCAAGGUGCUAAAUCCUGCAGACAUUAGUCUGAAAGAUGAGGG